rnacentral:rRNA from 1 species
UACGGAGGGAGCUAGCGUUGUUCGGAAUUACUGGGCGUAAAGCGCACGUAGGCGGCUUUUCAAGUCAGGGGUGAAAUCCCGGGGCUCAACCCCGGAACGGCACCCGAGACGGUCAGGCUGGAGACCGGGAGAGGAGGGUGGAAUAGCCAGUGUAGAGGUGAAAUUCGUAGAUAUUGGCUGGAACACCGGUGGCGAAAGCGGCUCUCUGGCCCGGUUCUGACGCUGAGGCGCGAAAGCGUGGGGAGCAAACAGG